AGAGAUCUAUUAAGAGCAAGGAGUUAAAACUUAAAUAAAUAGCUAAGAUUAUGUGGUGUGAGACAUCUUGUUCUUCGACUCCUCUCAUAGAGAGGGGCUCGAUCUUGAUCUAAGAUUUAACCGUUUAAAACCAUCGGCCAAAGCCGUUGGCGAAGGGGGCCCACUCUUUUAUUUUAAGAGAGCUAACUCUCCUUCAUGGUGAGAGAAACGACGUAAGUUGGACAGUUUGGUUGGGGCGACCGCCUUUUAAAAAGUAACGAAGGUGAGCUUAAGGUGCAUAAUUAAUAGCAGACGCCUGACUGCAAGGGGUACGUCCCGAGCAGACACCGGAAGACCUAGACACAAGCUUUUAGGGGUUGAAAAGGUGGGCUAUAAUGACCCGUUAGUUUAGAGUGGAAUAGUUAACGAUCAACGGAUAAAAGCUACCAUGGGGAUAACAGCGUAAUAUCGUUAGAGAGCUUUCAUCGACGACGAUGUUUGCGACCUCGAUGUUGAAUUGCAGCACCCUGGGGUGCAGUCGCUCCCAAGGGUUGGUCUGUUCGUCCAUUAAGGCUGUACAUGAUUUGAGUUAAAAGCGUGGUAACACAGCUUGGUUUCUAUCUACAAUUUGAAGAAACAUCGAUAUAAUUAUUUUCUAGUACGAAAGGACCGAAAAAUUAAUGAUCCUCUUAUUCUCUAUAAGUUACGAUCAAUUUAGAUCCUUUAGGAUCAGGCCCGCAUAGGAAGGUUGGGGGUCUUUCAGCUAAUCACUGACCGCCUCUAAAGUGUGAAGGAUAUAUCGAAUUGUUUGGAUUUUAUUUUAUUAA
rnacentral:rRNA from 1 species